ensembl:snoRNA SNORA53 small nucleolar RNA SNORA53
GGCACGUUUCCUUAGAUCUGCCUCUGUGGUGCUUACCUAGACUGAGUUCUGCUCAUCCUUUUGAGGUGAAUAGUUCCAGGUAGGGAGGCAUGCAGCAACUUGUAUGGUUGUACAGUCAGAGGUACUUGAGUCAUUGGCGUGCAAGAGCAACAUACCUGCUUUUUAGCCUCUUGUGUUCUGUUGGAAUUCUGGUUUGUCUUGAGGCAAACUGGUCAUCCACCUUCAGGACCAGGCUGGAGUGCAGACAGA